UACGGGGGGGGCAAGCGUUGUUCGGAAUUACUAGGCGUAAAGGGCUCGUAGGCGGCCAACUAAGUCAGACGUGAAAUCCCCAGGCUCAACCUGGGAACUGCGUCUGAUACUGGAUGGCUUGAAUCCGGGAGAGGGAUGCAGAAUUCCAGGUGUAGCGGUGAAAUGCGUAGAUAUCUGGAGGAAUACCGGUGGCGAAGGCGGCAUCCUGGACCGGCAUUGACGCUGAGGAGCGAAAGCUAGGGGAGCAAACGGG
rnacentral:rRNA from 1 species